rnacentral:rRNA from 1 species
CCUACGGGAGGCAGCAGUGGGGAAUAUUGGGCAAUGGAGGCAACUCUGACCCAGCAACGCCGCGUGAGUGAUGAAGGUCUUCGGAUUGUAAAACUCUUUAAGUGGGGACGAAGAAAGUGACUGUACCCACAGAAUAAGCCUCGGCUAACUACGGGCCAGCAGCCGCGGUAAUACGUAGGAGGCAAGCGUUAUCCGGAAUGACUGGGCGUAAAGGGUGCGUAGGUGGUUCGGCAAGUUUGUAGCGUAAUUCCGGGGAUCAACCUCGGAACUACUACUAAAACGGGGGGGCUUGAGUGCAGGAGAGGCAGAUGGAAGUCCUGGUGGAGCGGUGGAAUGCGUAGAUAUUAGGAAGAACACCAGUGGGGAAGGCGAUAUGCUGGACUGUAACUGACACUGAGGCACGAAAGCGUGGGGAGCCAACAGGAUUAGAUACCCGGGUAGUC